rnacentral:lncRNA from 1 species
GAGCUUUAAGUUCAGCGACCAAGGCAAUCAGUAUCCAAAAUGCAACGUCAUUAAAGUAUUGCUUGUUGAAUCGCACAUGCUAAGUUCUGAGCUGAUGGAACAAAAGUGUUAAAGCAUGAUCUUCCAUUUACAAAAUCAUUGAAACAUAUUUUGCUUAUACUUGGUCUCUGUGAAGAGAUGUCCAGCUUCUCAUUCACUGUCGAGUAAGAAAGUUAGUGACCUUGUCAAUCCCCACAAGAAGCAGAAUGGCUUCACAACAUGUAUGACAUCCAUAUAGCAAAAGUUGACUGCUGGCCUCAAAACCAGGAUCCANAAUGAUGGUGGCAACAUGUGAAAGCAUGUGCUUCCUUGUGAGAUCCGUUUGAAUAGAUGCAUAUCAUUCAUUGACUUGCCACCUCGAAAAGGUGUGAAUACCAUAUCAUGUCAUUGGGCAUGAUAUGAAGUGCAAUAACAAUGAUGUAAGUUUGUAAAGUGUUGUAGAUGAUGCCACGUGAUUUGAAGAAGAUGUCAUGUGGCCAAGAAUA